rnacentral:rRNA from 1 species
AGCGGCGGACGGGUGAGUAACACGUGGGUAACCUGCCUCAAAGAGGGGGAUAGCCUCCCGAAAGGGAGAUUAAUACCGCAUAACAUUAGUUUUUCGCAUGAAGAACUAAUUAAAGGAGUAAUCCGCUUUGAGAUGGACCCGCGGCGCAUUAGCUAGUUGGUGAGGUAAAGGCUCACCAAGGCGACGAUGCGUAGCCGACCUGAGAGGGUGAUCGGCCACAUUGGAACUGAGACACGGUCCAGACUCCUACGGGAGGCAGCAGUGGGGAAUAUUGCACAAUGGGCGAAAGCCUGAUGCAGCAACGCCGCGUGAGUGAUGAAGGCCUUCGGGUUGUAAAGCUCUGUCUUUUGGGACGAUAAUGACGGUACCAAAGGAGGAAGCCACGGCUAACUACGUGCCAGCAGCCGCGGUAAUACGUAGGUGGCGAGCGUUGUCCGGAUUUACUGGGCGUAAAGGAUGCGUAGGCGGAUAUUUAAGUGAGAUGUGAAAUACCCGGGCUUAACUUGGGUGCUGCAUUUCAAACUGGAUAUCUAGAGUGCGGGAGAGGAGAAUGGAAUUCCUAGUGUAGCGGUGAAAUGCGUAGAGAUUAGGAAGAACACCAGUGGCGAAGGCGAUUCUCUGGACCGUAACUGACGCUGAGGCAUGAAAGCGUGGGUAGCAAACAGGAUUAGAUACCCUGGUAGUCCACGCC